ACGUUGGCUCUGGUGGUG
rnacentral:miRNA from 5 species